CAUGUGUUGAGUCCUUUGGAUGAGAAAAGACAACCAUGAGAUGUGGAAAGGGGAACAGUGAGCACAAAGUUCCAUUAGUGAGCAAAGAAGAACUUCUCUGCAGAAGCUGAACUUCCACAAUCAAACACAAAAGUAGUAAUUUCAAGCCAAUGAACAUGGGUGAUCCUAUUUGCUUGCAGAAGGUUCCAUAGACAGAAAGGUAUAGAGGUAUUUUGUGACUAAAUUACUUAUUGCUUGGUCAUUUGCUUAGCAGUGUU
ensembl:lncRNA